UUGCCAGGUCUGUUGAAGGAA
rnacentral:miRNA from 1 species